CAUAGCGACUAUCGUGGCAUAUCAAUAAGCGGAGGAAAAGAAACUAACAAGGAUUCCCCUAGUAACGGCGAGUGAAGCGGGAAGAGCUCAAAUUUGAAAUCUUAAAGGGUUUCCCUUUACGAAUUGUAGUUUAAAGAAGUGUUUUCUGUUGGAGUUUCGGUAAAAGUUCUUUGGAAUAGGACAUCAUAGAGGGUGAGAAUCCCGUAUUUGACCGUUACUUUCCAGCUGUGUGAUACACUUUCAAAGAGUCGGAUUGUUUGGGAAUGCAGUCCAAAAUGGGUGGUAAAUUUCAUCUAAAGCUAAAUAUUGGCGAGAGACCGAUAGCGAACAAGUACCGUGAGGGAAAGAUGAAAAGAACUUUGAAAAGAGAGUUAAACAGUACGUGAAAUUGUCAAAAGGGAAGCGUUUGACACCAGUGUUGUUUAGUUGAAAAUCAAUUCAAUAAUUUUUGAUUUUGAAGUAGUAUUGACUUCAUCAGCUUGCUGCUUUCUUUUCAGAAAUUAUUGAAUGCACUUUUCAGUUAACAAGUCAACAUCAAUUUCUUUUGUUGUAAAAGGGUAAGAGGAAGGUGGCUUACGCUUCGGCGUAAGUGUUUAUAGCCUUUUACCUCUGCAAUCGGAGAGAUUGAGGACCGCAGCGUAGACUCCUUCUGGGGUUAGAUACACUUGUGCUAAGCUAUAGCCUUGUAUAGACAACUUGUUGACUAUGCUCAGUCAUGUAGCUUACUCGCUUGUGCUAUUUUACCUACGCUUAGGAUGUUGAUAUGCAUGACUGAUAU
rnacentral:rRNA from 1 species